rnacentral:rRNA from 1 species
UGGGCAAUCUGCCCUUCACUCCGGGACAAGCCCUGGAAACGGGGUCUAAUACCGGAUAUCACUCCUGCCUGCAUGGGCGGGGGUUGAAAGCUCCGGCGGUGAAGGAUGAGCCCGCGGCCUAUCAGCUUGUUGGUGGGGUAAUGGCCCACCAAGGCGACGACGGGUAGCCGGCCUGAGAGGGCGACCGGCCACACUGGGACUGAGACACGGCCCAGACUCCUACGGGAGGCAG